GGCUGCUGUGCUCUCUGUCCUGCCGUUGAAUUCUCUGAGGCAUGUUCAGGCAAGCUCCAAAGUUGCGACAUGGAUGUAUUGACCUAUGAUGAUGUACAUGUGAACUUCACUCGAGAAGAAUGGGCUUUGCUGGAUCCUUCACAGAAGAGUCUCUACAAAGAUGUGAUGCAGGAGACCUACAGGAACCUCACUGCUAUAGGUUACAAUUGGGAAGACCAUACUAUUGAAGAACAUUGUCAAAGUUUCAGAAGACAUGGAAGGCAUGAAAGAUGUCAUACUGGAGAGAAACCCUCUGAAAAUACUCAGUGUUGUAAAGCCUUUGCACAACAUAGUCCUCUCCAAAGACAUAAAAGCACACAUACUGGAGAGAAACUCUAUGAA
rnacentral:lncRNA from 1 species